rnacentral:rRNA from 2 species
GCGGAGGAAAAGAAACCAACAGGGAUUGCCUUAGUAGCGGCGAGUGAAGCGGCAAAAGCUCAAAUUUGAAAUCUGGCACCUUCGGUGUCCGAGUUGUAAUUUGAAGAUUGUAACCUUGGGGUUGGCUCUUGUCUAUGUUUCUUGGAACAGGACGUCACAGAGGGUGAGAAUCCCGUGCGAUGAGAUGCCCAAUCCUAUGUAAGGUGCUUUCGAAGAGUCGAGUUGUUUGGGAAUGCAGCUCUAAGUGGGUGGUAAAUUCCAUCUAAAGCUAAAUAUUGGCGAGAGACCGAUAGCGAACAAGUACAGUGAUGGAAAGAUGAAAAGAACUUUGAAAAGAGAGUGAAAAAGUACGUGAAAUUGUUGAAAGGGAAGGGUUUGAGAUCAGACUCGAUAUUUUGUGAGCCUUGCCUUCGUGGCGGGGUGACCCGCAGCUUAUCGGGCCAGCAUCGGUUUGGGCGGUAGGAUAAUGGCGUAGGAAUGUGACUUUGCUUCGGUGAAGUGUUAUAGCCUGCGUUGAUGCUGCCUGCCUAGACCGAGGACUGCGAUUUUAUCAAGGAUGCUGGCAUAAUGAUCCCAAACCGCCCGUCUU